rnacentral:rRNA from 1 species
AGUGAACGCUGGCGGUAGGCCUAACACAUGCAAGUCGAACGGCAGCACAGGAGAGCUUGCUCUCUGGGUGGCGAGUGGCGGACGGGUGAGGAAUACAUCGGAAUCUACUCUGUCGUGGGGGAUAACGUAGGGAAACUUACGCUAAUACCGCAUACGACCUACGGGUGAAAGCAGGGGACCUUCGGGCCUUGCGCGAUUGAAUGAGCCGAUGCCGGAUUAGCUAGUUGGCGGGGUAAAGGCCCACCAAGGCGACGAUCCGUAGCUGGUCUGGGAGGAUGAUCAGCCACACUGGAACUGAGACACGGUCCAGACUCCUACGGGAGGCAGCAGUGGGGAAUAUUGGACAGUGGGCGCAAGCCUGAUCCAGCCAUACCGCGUGGGUGAAGAAGGCCUUCGGGUUGUAAAGCCCUUUUGUUGGGAAAGAAAUCCAGCUGGCUAAUACCCGGUUGGGAUGACGGUACCCAAAGAAUAAGCACCGGCUAACUUCGUGCCAGCCGCCGCGGUAA